GUGCUGCAGACCGGACCCACAACGGCAGUCUGCAUUCUGAUUGGUUCAGACACUCUGGAAACUAAACUUCCUAUUGGCCAGCAUUCUUGCUCCUCUGAUGAUGGAACCUCCGGUCUCUUCACCCAUCACCAUAAACACAGUUUAAGUCCCAGGAUGGGAAAACAAUAGCUACGUAGAGGAACUAAAGGAAGAGCUGGUCUUCCAUCGGCAGAUUUGUUGCCCAACUGUGCUCUGAAAUCCAAUCAUAUUAUACUUUCCGCACCAAAGUGCUCCCUUCGACCGCAAUCCUCUUCAGGGCGCACCACGCGGCAGAAAUCCGCGUCAGCAGCGCCGUGACGCCCUAUUGCCGUCAAAUGGGCCAGACGCAACGUGAGAAGGAGGUUCUAUAUGGACACUGUUGAUGAGGUACAGGUGUUCCUCAUUACACCGG